UAUUUUUAUUAUCAAAAUCAAUUUUAUCAAUCCAAUCCUACCUAAAACAUUUAAAACUGAGGCCCCUGUCCUACCUUGAUCGAGCUACCUCGUUGGUUCCAUUACUGCUCUGUAUUCUACUUCAAAAUGAAGCAUCAACUCUCAUAUAUAACUUUAUCUAAAAGAUUUAACAAAAAUAUUUGGUAAAUAAUCAUUUUUGAUUUUUCAGAUAAGAUGGCAGAUAUAGACUUCAGUACGUUUCCUUGGACACAUCCUAACAUAUUUACAAAUAUGAUGCUGGGAACCAGUUCUAGCGCAACCAUACUGGCCUGCCGGGUAGUGUGUCAAGAUUGGAGGAACUGGUUUAAUAAGAAUCAGAUUUGGGGCAAAUAUUUCAAAAUCAGGAAAAGGCAGAUAAUAGAGAAGCUAAAGAAGUCUCAAUCUGAUCAAUUUCUUGUUGAUGUUUCUAUUUACAGAAUUGAACGAUUGAUAGAGGAAUUAGAGAAAGAAGAAGAAGUACCGGAAGAAAACUAUCUGAAAAUAUCGAUUCAAAUUGAAAAAUGUGUCAGGCAGCUGGAAAUUGGCCUUGUCCCAAUCUUUCCUCAGAGCACAUACCGCUAUGUAACUGAACUGCUUGAGCUUGGAUCCCCAGCAGGAACUGGGAUUAAAUCUGUUGGACCCGUCUCACUCUUUAUUAAAAUAAAGGUAGAUGAUCCCCUGGUAGUGAGGGUUGCAAGUGAGAUACUGAACAAGUAUUUAACCAGUAUUAUCGUGGACAAGUCAGCAAGAGAUAAUCAAGCAAUGCAAAUAUUUGUGAUGAGAGCAAUGGCAACUGGGCAGAACUGGGUUUUCAGAUAUUUCAAUCCUGCGUUGGAAUCUCAACAGGAGGCCGAGGUCUAUUGCUCCGAAGCUGAGGCUAGGCGAGCCUCAGCUCUCAAGGGAACUUUACAGAUCCAAGCCUCAACAACAUUAACCUCGAAUCCAUCAACUACAUCCUCCAGUAUAGUCUCUACAACCUCAUAUCUCUUCUCUAACCAUAUACCGGAGAAGAAUAAGGAUGUUUCUCUAAAAAGGAAACUGGAGGAAGAGGAGGGAGACUCCAAGAAGCAAAAGCUUGAAGAAGAGGAUGAAGAAGAAGAGGACAGUAUUUACAGUUGUAUUAGAGUACAGUCCAACCCUCACUUCCCAACCAUUCUAGAACUUUUAGAUAUAGAUCAUCCUGUUAUUCUUAAGGCUCUGGUGGAUAGGUUCAAGAUAGAUCGUCUUCUGUUGGUUCCAAACCUGGAGAAGUUUAUUCUACACCAGGAAAAGUAUUCCGGACUUAUUGAGAAAGGAUUUGAAAUCAUCGGAAGGGAUCAGGACGGGAGUGUGAGUAAAAUAGAUCCUGCCAAAGAUUUCUUUGAAUCGGAGCACGCUGUAGUUGGAUAUAUGGAAAACAUUGCAUCCUAUGGUCUAGCUAGAAACCAGCUACUUUAUUGGGGAGGAACUGAUGUCAGAAAUAGAUGGGAAGAAUUUAGUAAACAACUCGCAGAUAUGGACCAGCCAACAAAAAGCUCAGAGGUAAAAUGCCGGAGUAAACUGAAUUUACCAGUUGCCUGUAUUGGAACCUCUUCUAGUUCAUCUAACUCAGAGACAAGUGCUGAGUCUCUAGUGGCAAUACUGGCUGCCCGGGGGAUCUCUUUGACUAGAAAUUAAAUAAAGAGGAAGUUCGAACUAAAUUUAAAAAGGAACAGCAGAGGACCCUUAACUUUAAGAAUGGCAUGUCCUAUUCACAACUGUAUUCUUUAAAUCUUUGUCUGAUUUUCGAUAAUGAUCCUUUUUUUCUCGCUGAAAAUUAGGUGCCGGGAAAUUUGAGUGUACAGAAUACAUUGACUUCACAAGUUUAUGAAAGAACUCAAUUUUUAGCUGGAGUGUAUGUAGAUAAUAUGUAACUUAAUGAAACAAGUAUUAAUGAAUAAUUAAUAUCAUUCCUUUUUAUUAAUUUUUGGGAUUAGUAAACUCAGUAAGGAAAAAUGAAAGAAUGAUUAAAAAAUGACACAAAAAGGAAAAAAAUCUCUAUCUUUUAUUUUCAUCCUACAAACUUUAUCUCAAUGUCUAACUAUGUUAAAUCUGUUCAGAAUUCAGUUCACCUCCCACCGAUGGCUUAGUUUAAUUUGACAGAAAUUCCUUAAUUUGAAUACAUUUUUAAUUUAUCAUAUGCGUCCUGUAAAUCCACUUUAUUUUACCAAUGAGAUCUUCAACUUUCAGUUUCCAUCAAUUAAAGAUCAGGAUUCAUUUCCUACCUAAAAGGACUGUUAACGUCAUUAUAAAUGGCCCUCCAUGGAAAGAGCGACAUGACCGAUUCACAGUGAAAAUGGGGAGCAAAUUAUAAUUAAAAUGACAGUUCCUUAGAACUGGAAGACAAUACUCCCCAAAAUUCUCAGAUUUAAAGACUUACAUCAUGAAUCCAAGCAUCAAAAGUUGCCGCUUCGGAUCUCCAGUUAAGUCGAAUGAAUGACGCAUUUCCCAACUAGUUUUUACCUCAGUUUAUAACCGUGAGUUAUCUUUAAUUAAUAAUGUAUUUAUUCUUGUAAUUGCAGUGAACUUAAAUAUUAAAUGAUCAAUUAUUUCUGUCGUUAAUUAACGUAAGGUGUAUUUAUAAUAAAUACACUUAUUUACAAGUUGCAAA
rnacentral:misc_RNA from 1 species